UACGGAGGGUGCAAGGGUUGAUCGGAAUUACUGGGCGUAAAGCGCGUGUAGGCGGUUGGGCAAGGACGAUGUGAAAGCCUUCCGCUUAACGGAAGAAGUGCAUUUGAAACUACCCGGCUGGAGUACGGGAGAGGAGAGUGGAAUUCCCGGUGUAGAGGUGAAAUUCGUAGAUAUCGGGAGGAACACCAGUGGCGAAGGCGGCUCUCUGGUCCGAUACUGACGCUGAGACGCGAAAGCGUGGGGAGCAAACAGG
rnacentral:rRNA from 1 species